UCGAACAAGAUCUCUCGACUCCUCGCGUCUCCCUCUCUCUCUUUGCCCAAUUUCCUCCUGGAUCCUUUCCUCCUUCCCCUCACCACCUAGUCGUGAAAAAUUUAAGAAUCAGUUAUUGUCUCAAGGACUCGUUAGGAGGUGGCGAUUUAAGAUUGUGGAUCAAAUUUCAAGAUGACUACUUUGUUGAUGGAUCCUUUGUUGAUGCAUUUUCUCAGGUGCCCAAACCUUGAGGUUCUUUCAAUCAAGUGCUGCCCGAAUGUGACUGAUGCAUCCAUCGCAGACAUAGCGUUUCAGUGCACCAUGAUUAAGGAACUUGACAUCAGCUAUUGCUAGGGCGAGCAAAUUCUCCCGAAUCAAACCCUACCAACCACAUCCGAGCCGAGCUAAGUGAAUUGGUAGCUGAAAAGUCGGUAACCAAAAACGUGGUACGGUUGUACCGAAUCGACUACAUGAAGAUGGUACGGUAAUGGUAUGUAACUUCAUACAUUUACGGUAUACCGUACCGUACCAUAUAAAUUAUAAAUAUUUUUUAUUUUAUUUUUUAUUAAUAGUGUGGGACUGUGGCAGUGUGGGUACUCCACUACUCUUCCAAGUGGCAAUAUAUAAUUAUAAAUAUUCCAUUAUUCCUUUACCUCACCAAGUCACCAGCACGAUUUUUUCUUCUCCAUCUCUCUUAUUCUCUCUUCUCUAGUUCUUCUUCUUCUUCUUCCUCAGCUAGUCAACCCCACCUUUCCUUCUCCCCGUCGUCAUCUUUACUCUCUCUUUUUUUCUUUUUUUGUCUAUCUUUUUCAACCCUCGGUCUCCUCUUUAUCCUCAUUCUUCUUCAUUUUUUCUUUCUUUCUUUUUCUCUUUCUUCUUCAUCUUCUUCCUCUUCCCUCAAUUUGGCACUCCCUCAAUUCCUCUCCCUCAGUUCCUCAAUGCACAACGCCUUCUUCCCCUCAUGCGUCUUGAUUUCUGGGUAAUCUUUACUUUUUCUUUAUAUGAUUCCUGUUUUUGUGUAGGCAGUUUGCCAAAGAACUCAUUUUUAGAUCCAAAGUCGGCUCAAGAGCAGAGCUUUGGAGCCUAGUUUGUGGAAAUUGAUUUGUACAGGUGUGUUCUUGGGUUAGUUUUAGCUUUUGGGUGUGUUUUGUUCGUGAUUGUGCUAUCUGGGUGUUCAUUAAUUCAAGCUUUUCUGAUGGUGAACAUUGUUUGCAUCAAGAAUUUGUGGUGCAUUCGUAAGGUGAGUGCAGAAAGGUGUUUGUUUUGAUCUUUAUGUUCAUAGUUUGUGUUAAAAACAAGAACUUCUUUCAUUGGAGUGCACAGCUUCUUUAGCAAGCUUGAUUUAUGAGUGACUGAUUUGUUCACUUGUUUAUAAACUCGGUUGGAUGCCCAACCAACCGAGUCUCUUGGUAUACCGAAAUGUUGGUAUACCGACUUCUGUGGCCGGUAAUAGGAGAAGAUUUUAUGUACCAAACUAGUCCGAUACGGUAGGUGGUUUUGGGCUUGCAACUCCGGUACCGAAUCGAACCCACCCCUAGCUAUUGCAAUGAAAUAUCUCCGAAGUCUCUGGUGUUGAUUGGGAAGAAUUCCCCUAAUCUCACAAUUGUUAAACGGAAUGCAUUGAAUUUGCUAGAUCCUUCUGAACACGUUGGGAUUGUUCCUGAGGAGUAUUUAAAAAUUUGCCCUCAAGAUGGAAAUUCAGAACCUGAUGCAAUUGGCAAAUCAGAGCACAACAUGUUGGUUAGGAUAUGGAAGUGGAGCUGAUGAUGUUAACUAAUAGUAGCUUUUUUUAUUGUUGAAGGCUGUUAAGUUUUGGUGAAGGUGUAAACUUUUACUUUUGGCCAUGACUCCAAUUUGGAGUGAAUUGUUAAGUUUCUAUGUAUGAAACGAUUGUGUAGGACUCGUGAAUUGUUAAGUUUCUAUGUAUGAAACGAUUGUGUAUGACUCCAA